rnacentral:siRNA from 1 species
GGAGCGCGGUGUCACACAGUUGGA